rnacentral:rRNA from 1 species
GACGAACGCUGGCGGCGUGCUUAACACAUGCAAGUCGAACGGAAAGGCCCUGCUUUUGUGGGGUGCUCGAGUGGCGAACGGGUGAGUAACACGUGAGUAACCUGCCCUUGACUUUGGGAUAACUUCAGGAAACUGGGGCUAAUACCGGAUAGGAGCUCCUGCUGCAUGGUGGGGGUUGGAAAGUUUCGGCGGUUGGGGAUGGACUCGCGGCUUAUCAGCUUGUUGGUGGGGUAGUGGCUUACCAAGGCUUUGACGGGUAGCCGGCCUGAGAGGGUGACCGGCCACAGGGGGAGGAAGAUGCGGCCGGGCCGCCUGGGGGGGGAAUCGGGGGGGAGUAGUGCACAGGGGGCGGAGGCUUGUGGCCGGAGCGCGGCGGGGGGGAAGGGGGCGUUGGGGUGAUGAACGACUUGCGCCGGUGACAAGGCGUGAGGGACGGAAAGGGAUAAGAAAGAACGGGCUAACUCGGGG